GACGAACGCUGGCGGCGUGCUUAACACAUGCAAGUCGAACGGAAAGACCCUGCUUUUGUGGGGUGCUCGAGUGGCGAACGGGUGAGUAACACGUGAGUAACCUGCCCUUGACUUUGGGAUAACUUCAGGAAACUGGGGCUAAUACCGGAUAGGAGCUCCUGCUGCAUGGUGGGGGUUGGAAAGUUUCGGCGGUUGGGGAUGGACUCGCGGCUUAUCAGCUUGUUGGUGGGGUAGUGGCUUACCAAGGCCUUGACGGGUAGCCGGCCUGAGAGGGUGACCGGCCACAUUGGGACUGCGAUACGGCCCAGACUCCUACGGGAGGCAGCAGUGGGGAAUAUUGCACAAUGGGCGGAAGCCUGAUGCAGCAACGCCGCGUGCGGGAUGACGGCCUUCGGGUUGUAAACCGCUUUCGCCUGUGACGAAGCGUGAGUGACGGUAAUGGGUAAAGAAGCACCGGCUAACUACGUG
rnacentral:rRNA from 1 species